GAGAGUUCGACAGGAUGAAGCUAAUCGAGUGGCGGACGGGUGAGUAACGCGUGAGCAAUCUGUCCCAGACAGGGGGAUAACACUUGGAAACAGGUGCUAAUACCGCAUAAGACCACAGCAUCGCAUGGUGUAGGGGUAAAAGGAGGAAUCCGGUUUGGGGUGAGUUCGCGUCCGAUUAGAUAGUUGGUGAGGUAACGGCCCACCAAGUCGACGAUCGGUAGCCGACCUGAGAGGGUGAUCGGCCACAUUGGAACUGAGAGACGGUCCAAACUCCUACGGGAGGCAGCAGUGGGGAAUAUUGGGCAAUGGGCGAAAGCCUGAACCCCCAGCAACGCCGCGUGAGUGAUGAAGGCCUUCGGGUUGUAAAGCUCUGUUAUAGGGGACGAAGGAAGUGACGGUACCCUAUGAGGAAGCCCCGGCUAACUACGUGCCAGCAGCUGC
rnacentral:rRNA from 1 species